rnacentral:rRNA from 1 species
UCCUGGCUCAGAUUGAACGCUGGCGGCAGGCUUAACACAUGCAAGUCGAGCGGUAGCACAGGGGAGCUUGCUCCCCGGGUGACGAGCGGCGGACGGGUGAGUAAUGUCUGGGAAACUGCCUGAUGGAGGGGGAUAACUACUGGAAACGGUAGCUAAUACCGCAUAACGUCGCAAGACCAAAGAGGGGGACCUUCGGGCCUCUUGCCAUCAGAUGUGCCCAGAUGGGAUUAGCUAGUAGGUGGGGUAAUGGCUCACCUAGGCGACGAUCCCUAGCUGGUCUGAGAGGAUGACCAGCCACACUGGAACUGAGACACGGUCCAGACUCCUACGGGAGGCAGCAGUGGGGAAUAUUGCACAAUGGGCGCAAGCCUGAUGCAGCCAUGCCGCGUGUGUGAAGAAGGCCUUCGGGUUGUAAAGCACUUUCAGCGAGGAGGAAGGUGGUGAGCUUAAUACGUUCAUCAAUUGACGUUACUCGCAGAAGAAGCACCGGCUAACUCCGUGCCAGCAGCCGCGGUAAUACGGAGGGUGCAAGCGUUAAUCGGAAUUACUGGGCGUAAAGCGCACGCAGGCGGUUUGUUAAGUCAGAUGUGAAAUCCCCGGGCUCAACCUGGGAACUGCAUUUGAAACUGGCAAGCUAGAGUCUCGUAGAGGGGGGUAGAAUUCCAGGUGUAGCGGUGAAAUGCGUAGAGAUCUGGAGGAAUACCGGUGGCGAAGGCGGCCCCCUGGACGAAGAC